ensembl:processed_transcript A230059L01Rik RIKEN cDNA A230059L01 gene
CCUAUAAAAGUUUACCAACACCAGAAAUAAAACUGAAAUCAAAUAAAUGACACCUUAUAAAAUUGCCAAAAAUCUUUUACAUAGCCAAGAAAAUUAAAGAAUUAACAGAGUAAAAAGAAUGCCAAGUAUAUUCAAAUAUAGUCUGAAUCUUUCUCUGGUAAGAAAUUUAUUUUUAACAUACAGAAAGAAGUUAAAAUAUCAUGACUUAUGAAUAAACAACCAACCUAAAAAUAAGUAAUAGAUUUAAAGAUAUCUCUGAAGUAAAACACACAAGUGAUUAAUCACAUAUGAAACAUUCAUUAUUCACAACACAUAUUAUUAGUAUAAUAAAGAAUGUGACCAAAAUUAGAUAUUUCUUUACUUCAGUACAUUUAUCAAAGGCAAUGUCUAGUAGAUACAAGCCACAAAUUGUUAACAAGGACAUUGAAACAUGAGAAACCUUGUGCAUGCUGGUGAGAGUAUAGAGUUGUAACUUUGUAUGAAAUAACAACAUUGUGGUUCCUCAAUAAAAUAAAUAAAUAAUUAAAAUCUAGGUUUUGUGAUAGGACACAGUAGCAGAACAUUGUCCUAACAUAUACACAGCUAUGGAUGUGAAAUAAAAAAAAUAUGAUGUUGUCAACCCAAUACUGUGGCAACCUGGAGGCUAUACUCUUUGAUACCUCUGUGGAAAUUAUCAAGCCAUAGCAACAAGAUGCAUGCAAACAAGUUGGCCAAAAUUGAUGUCCAGCCUAGUGACAAAUAUAUUAAAUAAAAACAAAAGAUUUUAUGUUUUUUUUCAGAAAAAUAUUUGGAAAAUACCCUUUGUAAUCAGUGUCUUGAAAAGUUCUAUGUUCUAAAUCUCUUAGGUUUUUCUACUGUGAAUUAGUAGGGCAUAAGAUUUCUCUCUCAUUUUUCAAAGUCAGCCUCCAUCAGGAGUUAAAAGGGAACAAUAAAUGUCUUUCUCUAGAGUUUAGAAUACUUUUCAGAACAUAUAAAAUGGAUGAAGGCUGACAUAGCAAGGUGUUUGUUUAGAAGACAUGUCACAGCAGAUUAAUGGAAAAUGUGGGUUCUGUUUACUCUAUUUAUGCAUCACUUAAAAUAAAUUCAGAUUUGUUGGGAGCCGCCCCCACAUUCGCCGUCACAAGAUGGCGCUGACAUCCUGUGUUCUAAGNNNNNCCUGAAGAUGUAAGCAAUAAAGUUUUGCCGCAGAAGAUUCUGGUUUGUUGCGUCUUUCCUGGCCGGUCGUGAGAACGCGAAUAAGACAGAUUUAUUAACAAAAUAAUGGGCAGUAAGGUACUUGUGCCUAGGUUAUUUAUCAUUUUCAUUAGUCUCUUAUAAUAACCAAACAAUUUAUUAUUUUUGUAUAAUAAUUGGUCUAGUUAGAGAACCCCUGUUACUUUUGGUUGGUAUGUAAUACAAUCGUGUUUAAUGUCAGAAAAACAGCACAGAUUUGGUAUAUGGGGGAAAUGUCAGUGUGCUCAUAUUUGUUUUAAUGCUCAUAGAUGUUCUUUCUCCUGGACCUUUUGCUUUGUCUCUAGAGAAGUACUGAAUUCAAACUGCUACAUGUUGCAACAGUGUGGAAAGAUCAACAGAAAAGGAGGUACCCCAGUCUCCAUCUCAUGGCCCUUGGAGAGAAACCUUAAAUAAAAUCUCCCAGUUACUAGCAUACAUAUGGUUGCACAAUGAAAGUAUGAAAACAGAAUGUAAGGAUUUAGAGCUACCCUGCCUAAAAUUCCCAUCUCAAGUUUCCAGUAUGUUUUUUUUUAAACAAUUGAGGAUGCCAUUGAAAUUCUAUUUGAGUAUUUUUUAUAGAAAAUUACUAUAUCAAAUUCAGUGUCUGUUUAGUAUUGAAUGCAAAACAAGAUUCUUAGACAAUUCUCAUAUAAAUUCUUUUAGGAAAUAAUGAUAUUUUAUUAACCAAAAAUUGUCUCAAGAUAUCAAUAUUAUUUUAUACUCUGACAAACCAUUUUAUUGUAUGAUUUAAGGCAAAUAUAUACUGGCCAUGUUUUCUGCUGUAUUAACUAUAUUGUGAAAUACAAAACAAUGUACCUUCUACAGAUUUGUACUGCAUUUUUGAAAUGGAUAUGAAAAUCAAGGUGUCUAAGUCCUUCAGAUUGCUGAGGCUUCAACUAAGAAGCCUUAUACAAGUAUUUCAGGUGUCAUCAGGUUCCCAAUGAUGUAUGUGAUAGUUUGUAUAUGCUUGGCCCAGGGAGUGGCACUAUUUGGAGUUGUGGCCUUAUUGGACUAAGUGUGUCACUGUGGGCAUGAUCUUCAUUACCCUCAUCCUAACUGCCUGGGAGGCAGUCCUUUCCUAGCAGCCUCUAGAUGAAGAUGUAGAACUCUCAACUCCUCCUGCACCAUGCUUGCUUGCACUCUGUCAUGCUUCAACCUUGGUGAUAAUGGACUGAAGCCCCAGUUAAACGUUAUUCUCAUAAGAGUUGCCAUGGUCAUGUU